rnacentral:rRNA from 1 species
CCAGGCGACGGUUGUCCUGGUUCAAGUGCGUAGGCUUGAGGGUUAGGUAAAUCCGGCUCUCUCUAAGGCUGAGACACGACGUCGAGCUGCUACGGCAGUGAAGUCAUUGAUGCCAUGCUUCCAGGAAAAGCCUCUAAGCUUCAGAUAGUCAGGAAUCGUACCCCAAACCGACACAGGUGGUCGGGUAGAGAAUACCAAGGCGCUUGAGAGAACUCGGGUGAAGGAACUAGGCAAAAUGGUACCGUAACUUCGGGAGAAGGUACGCUCUUGAUGGUGAAGUCCCUCGCGGAUGGAGCUGACGAGAGUCGCAGAUACCAGGUGGCUGCAACUGUUUAUUAAAAACACAGCACUGUGCAAAAUCGCAAGAUGACGUAUACGGUGUGACGCCUGCCCGGUGCCGGAAGGUUAAUUGAUGGGGUUAGCGCAAGCGAAGCUCUUGAUCGAAGCCCCGGUAAACGGCGGCCGUAACUAUAACGGUCCUAAGGUAGCGAAAUUCCUUGUCGGGUAAGUUCCGACCUGCACGAAUGGCGUAAUGAUGGCCACGCUGUCUCCACCCGAGACUCAGUGAAAUUGAAAUCGCUGUGAAGAUGCAGUGUACCCGCGGCUAGACGGAAAGACCCCGUGAACCUUUACUACAGCUUGGCACUGAACAUUGAACCUACAUGUGUAGGAUAGGUGGGAGGCUAUGAAGACGUGACGCCAGUUGCGUUGGAGCCGUCCUUGAAAUACCACCCUUGUAUGUUUGAUGUUCUAACUUAGACCCAUUAUCUGGGUUGAGGACAGUGCCUGGUGGGUAGUUUGACUGGGGCGGUCUCCUCCCAAAGAGUAACGGAGGAGCACGAAGGUGGGCUAAUCACGGUUGGACAUCGUGAGGUUAGUGCAAUGGCAUAAGCCCGCUUAACUGCGAGAAUGACGGUUCGAGCAGGUGCGAAAGCAGGUCAUAGUGAUCCGGUGGUUCUGUAUGGAAGGGCCAUCGCUCAACGGAUAAAAGGUACUCCGGGGAUAACAGGCUGAUACCGCCCAAGAGUUCAUAUCGACGGCGGUGUUUGGCACCUCGAUGUCGGCUCAUCACAUCCUGGGGCUGAAGUCGGUCCCAAGGGUAUGGCUGUUCGCCAUUUAAAGUGGUACGCGAGCUGGGUUUAGAACGUCGUGAGACAGUUCGGUCCCUAUCUGCCGUGGGCGUUGGAAGAUUGAAGGGGGCUGCUCCUAGUACGAGAGGACCGGAGUGGACGAACCUCUGGUGUUCGGGUUGUGUCGCCAGACGCAUUGCCCGGUAGCUAAGUUCGGAAUUGAUAAGCGCUGAAAGCAUCUAAGCGCGAAGCGAGCCCUGAGAUGAGUCUUCCCUGAUACUUUAAGUAUCCUAAAGGGUUGUUCGAGACUAGAACGUUGAUAGGCAGGGUGUGUAAGCGUUGUGAGGCGUUGAGCUAACCUGUACUAAUUGCCCGUGAGGCUUAACCAU